UGCAGUCGAGCGGAACGAUCCUAGCUUGCUAGGAGGCGUCGAGCGGCGGACGGGUGAGUAAUGCAUAGGAAUCUGCCCGGUAGUGGGGGAUAACCUGGGGAAACCCAGGCUAAUACCGCAUACGCCCUACGGGGGAAAGCAGGGGAUCUUCGGACCUUGCGCUAUCGGAUGAGCCUAUGUCGGAUUAGCUAGUUGGUGAGGUAACGGCUCACCAAGGCUGCGAUCCGUAGCUGGUCUGAGAGGAUGAUCAGCCACAUCGGGACUGAGACACGGCCCGAACUCCUACGGGAGGCAGCAGUGGGGAAUAUUGGACAAUGGGCGAAAGCCUGAUCCACCAUGCCCGCGUGUGUGAAGAAGGCCUUCGGGUUGUAAAGCACUUUCAGUGAGGAAGAAAGCCUUGGGGUUAAUACCCUCGAGGGAGGACAUCACUCACAGAAGAAGCACCGGCUAACUCCGUGCCAGCAGCCGCGGUAAUACGGAGGGUGCGAGCGUUAAUCGGAAUUACUGGGCGUAAAGCGCGCGUAGGCGGCUUGAUAAGCCGGUUGUGAAAGCCCCGGGCUCAACCUGGGAACGGCAUCCGGAACUGUCAGGCUAGAGUGCAGGAGAGGAAGGUAGAAUUCCCGGUGUAGCGGUGAAAUGCGUAGAGAUCGGGAGGAAUACCAGUGGCGAAGGCGGCCUUCUGGACUGACACUGACGCUAAGGUGCGAAAGCGUGGGUAGCAAACAGGAUUAGAUACCCUGGUAGUCCACGCCGUAAACGAUGUCGACUAGCCCUUGGGCUCCUUGAGAGCUUUGUGGCGCAGUUAACGCGAUAAGUCGACCGCCUGGGGAGUACGGCCGCAAGGUUAAAACUCAAAUGAAUUGACGGGGGCCCGCACAAGCGGUGGAGCAUGUGGUUUAAUUCGAUGCAACGCGAAGAACCUUACCUACCCUUGACAUCGAGAGAACUUUCCAGAGAUGGAUUGGUGCCUUCGGGAACUCUCAGACAGGUGCUGCAUGGCUGUCGUCAGCUCGUGUUGUGAAA
rnacentral:rRNA from 1 species